UUGGGAAUCUUGCACAAUGGGGGAAACCCUGAUGCAGCGACGCCGCGUGGAGGAUGAAGGGUCUAGGCUCGUAAACUCCUUUUACCAGGAAAGACUUAGGACGGUACCUGGUGAAUAAGCCCCGGCUAACUACGUGCCAGCAGCCGCGGUAAGACGUAGGGGGCAAGCGUUGUCCGGAUUUACUGGGCGUAAAGAGCGCGUAGGCGGUCUGUUAAGUGUAGAGUGAAAGCUCCGGGCUCAACCCGGAAACCGCUCUGCAUACUGGCAGACUUGAGGGACGCAGAGGUCUGUGGAAUUCCUGGUGUAACGGUGAAAUGUGUUGAUAUCAGGAGGAACACCCAUGGCGAAGGCAGCAGACUGGGCGUUUCCUGACGCUGAGGCGCGAAAGCGUGGGUAGCAAACAGG
rnacentral:rRNA from 1 species